AAGUUUCGUCCUGACCUUCCUCACAUCCGUUCAUCUUCAAUACUUCCACGAUCUCUGGUUCCUCACUUCCUCUUCCUGUUCUUAUGGAGUUCUUUAAUGGUUACUCCUUAGGAAAUCCAGGUCUCAGAGGAUGAGAAAGGAACCAAUUGGAUAUCAAAUGAUGCAUUAGCUUUGAAUCACAUUUUUACAGUUUCAAAAACCUAUGGUGGUUUCAUUGUUCAGGAUCUAUGGAUUCUAAGCUUGAAGGAGACUCUUCAUUAGUGGUAGAUCUUUCUUCUCAAUCCAAAUAAGCUAUCUUCAUGGGCUAUAAUUCCCCCAUUUGCAACUUCAAUUUGUUUUCACUUCUCAUGGUGUCAGGAAGUGAACUAUGGUGUUGGGACUGUUAGAAAACUAUGAACUUCAAAUCCUAUCUUGAAGAUUCAAGGUUUCUAAUUUUGUAAGGGCUCUUUCUAUAUCUUCUGGAUUCUGAAUUCUGAUUCUGUUUACUUUACUCACUUUUGUUUCUUGUUCUCCUCUAAAUAUCCACUCAUUUUAUUGUUAUUAACCAUUCUAGUAUCCCUGCUUCAUUUGGUUGUUAUUUGUUAGUUCAAAAAGAUAUAUGCGAAAAUCCACAGUUCUUGGGAUGAGAUUUAGCCUUUUACAACAAGUUUUAGCUUUACUGGAUGGAUAUGAAGUCUGAAUUCUUCUCUGAAUGGCCAUCUGGUGCUGUAAAAGGCUUACAUUUCUCAAACUUAAAGCAGGACAAACAAAGGGAAGAAAGAAAGCGGGUGGGAGGACUAGUAGUCGAUACCUGUCAACCCUUGCUACAAAUGGUUAGUUACCUCAUAAAAUACGAAAAUGUGUGCCACUGUAAGAACAAUGGGUGUCCUGAAGUGCACAGAAGACUUCAUGGUUUGGUGGGUUAGGCCAUGAGCAAAGCUACACCACUUCAUGGAUCUGGCUGUGUGAACCGAUGAGAUUAUAAAUUGCCUCAAAAGGCUCACCUGGUCAGUUCCCAUUAUAUUGAUUUCCAUCUUAGCUCCAUAUGGUAUCUGCCACUUGUUUAAUUGCUUUGUUGAUUGGUAAUUGUCUUAAGCUGUAGUUAAUGGUCAGUCAUCUAUCUCUUGUGAAUUAGAUGCAUCACCUUGUUCAUAUCCUUUGUCUAGCCCUUCAGUCAGUUCUGUUCCAGGAUAAAUUAUUUGUAAUUGUGGGUUUAUGAUGCUUUGUGUCGACCUUUCAAUUUAGUUCUCUUCUUAAGAGUAAAGGCAUAGAAAAGUAAUCUCAUCUUCUAUUGAAUCGUGCUUGCUUGAAACUGUUGUGAAAACCUGGUUUGCAUGAUGUGCUCUCAGAGAGAAAUUAAGCCAUUCCAAGAUUAGCAUGAGGGUGGGGAUGACCCCAAUGACAGCACAUUCACAGCCUGAUAGGAUCCAAAUUAGGUAUUGCAAACCUAGUAAUGUGGUUUCUAAGCACCUAAAAGAUUAGGGUUAGAAAACCUCAAGUAAUACCAAAAUCACAGCAAUGAGGAACAAACAGAUUUAAGAGAAUCAAUAACUUAAUGAAACACAUCUAAUUAGGCCAAAACCUUGGUCGAGUGAUCUAUUUGUCAAGGGGAACAGUCCAGUAAAGUUUGAUUGAAAACUGAUGGCUAGAUACCAAGUUCUGAAACAAUUCUUCUGGAAAUACGAAAGUUCGUGAGCUGCAGAAUCGAUGGACAGUUUAGGGCCCUAAAACAGAACCUGGUCAACGUGUUAAGUAGGGGUUUGAGCAAAUACAUUGAAUUUCGAAUGCCAUUACUAUCUCCCCCAGAUAAAUAUCCUAUUCUUGUGCCAGUAACCUAACAAAGAACUGAAGCCAAAAAAAAAACAAAACUGAAAAUUAGAUUCUAGAAAUCAGAAUUUGGGGAAGGAUUCCUGAAAUCAAUUGGAAAACUGAGAUAAACAGGAUCUGGAACUUGUAAUUAGUUAAUCAAAUUGAUAGCAAGAAUCAGCGGAGAUUAAUCAAUGAUUAAUGUGAAACUGAAACCACAACUAACCUGAAAAAUAAACCAGAAGAUCCUAACAGAAUUAGAAAUUACAGGGAAGAUAAGUUCAGAAAGCCUGACCUGACAUGAGAUGGAGAGGUUGAGCUGAGAUAAGGGAAAGAUAAUCAACCAGGAUUCCACCUGAUUGCAGGCUUGGAAUCCACCAAAUCCCCACUUCUGAAUCCAUAGAAGAACCACUCAAAAUCCACUGAGUCAACACCUGAAUCCACAGAUGUCUAAGCCUGAAAUCCACGGACCAGCAAAGCAACAGCUUCAUUCAUUUAUCAAAAUUUGUUGUUGUGGCUGUAGCCCCCUACAUAUACUUUUAGAGUUUGAGUAAGAUAAGACUCUUAAGUCUGACCAAAACAAGGAAAGCCUAAAGAUUAAAGUCAAUCCUGAACCAAAAUGGAAAGAAACAAAACACAAACUGACUAACUCUUCCAAUUAACCAGCUAAGGAAGAGUCCUAAUCUGACCAAACAACUUUAAAUAAUAAAGAAAAGACAACCAAACAGGCUGGAAUUAAAUGGGCACUCCAGUUGCUGGAAAGUGCUCUCUUGUUGGUGGCCAGAGAAAUAAUGUGCAAAACUUACAGCUUUUAGUUGCCAAAUGCAAUUGAUUCAAAGGAUAAUUGGUUGAGGAACUUUUCUGUCAUAUUAUCAGGUGGAGUGGUUCCCAUUAAUACUCACAUUUUCUCCUACUUUUGUAAGUUUAUCAGCUUUAUGCCAUCUCCAUCUAAAGCAUGCUUCACAAUGGCAGUCUAGAGUAUCUUCGGUGGCCUAAUGUGCGGAGGUAAUAGUAUAUGUAACAUCCUUUUGAGUCAUUGGCACUGGCCGAAUUGCCGGGUGGCUUUUUGAAACCUUUGAUGGUUUGGUUGAGUCGAAUAAAUUUGUGACCGAGAAACAAAAGUAAUACACCAGAGGUUUGUCAUCCUCAUCAAAGCCCUACCACCUUAAAUGUGGCUAAUAUCCAUAUUUCUCAUCCAUUCAAUCAUGCUUGCCAAUUUGUUGAUGACCCCAAAAUUGGAAUCUGUAUACACAUGUAAGAUUCAUCUCUUGUAAGUCAACUAAACCACUUGUCAUUUGGUAUUUAAGUUUCAGGCUACAGCCAUCUGAAAUGUGCCACCAGGAACCUGAGUUUCCAUCGAAAUCAUUUUCAUGGCUAUAAUCAUUUGUUGGAUUUGUUUGAAUCUCAGACAUUAUAGACAGUACUAUUGUUAGUUAUAUUGAGCAAAAGUUUAAUCACUCAAACCUAAUUGGAUAUUCUUAUACCAACAGCCCCAAUAUCUGCAAUAUGACAACUUCAUUGAAUGUCAAAUUCUUUAGGUAUAUUAUCCACAGCAUUGACACACUGAACACAAGCAAUCAAGAUGCGAUCAGAGAGCAGAUUUACACACAACUAGUGGUCCUGCUUCAACAGUGCUAGAUACCUCUAUAUACGUAUACACUUCUUGAUAAUACCCAUGCAUUUCAAUAAUCGUUUGUUCGUGAUGAUCAGACUUUGAACCUAUAGUUGCAUCUUCUUUGCCAGAAAUGUAGGUGUACUAUAUUGCUCUUAUGAAGCUUUUGUUACCAAAGAAAGGAGCUACAGUAUUCUACUUGGCCACAUUUUAGAUGAUAAAAAUUAUUUUCAUGGCUA